UACGUAGGGCGCAAGCGUUGUCCGGAAUUACUGGGCGUAAAGGGCGCGUAGGCGGCAUGGCAAGUCGGGAGUGAAAGCCCGGGGCUCAACCCCGGAGGGUCUCUCGAAACUGCCGAGCUAGAGUGCGGAAGAGGCAAUCGGAAUUCCCAGUGUAGCGGUGAAAUGCGUAGAUAUCGUGAGGAAUACCAGAGGCGAAGGCGGCUCCCUGGACAAUUGCUGACGCUCAGGCACGAAAGCGUGGGGAGCAAAAGGG
rnacentral:rRNA from 1 species